GGCGGCAGUAGCGCGGUGGUCCCACCUGACCCCAUGCCGAACUCAGAAGUGAAACGCCGUAGCGCCGAUGGUAGUGUGGGGUCUCCCCAUGCGAGAGUAGGGAACUGCC
rnacentral:rRNA from 2 species